AGAGUUUGAUCAUGGCUCAGAUUGAACGCUGGCGGCAUGCUUUACACAUGCAAGUCGAACGGCAGCAUGGGGGCAACCCUGAUGGCGAGUGGCGAACGGGUGAGUAAUAUAUCGGAACGUACCCGAGAGUGGGGGACAACCAGUCGAAAGAUUGGCUAAUACCGCAUACGAUCUACGGAUGAAAGUGGGGGACCUUCGGGCCUCACGCUCCUGGAGCGGCCGAUAGCUGAUUAGCUAGUUGGUGGGGUAAAGGCCUACCAAGGCGAUGAUCAGUAGCUGGUCUGAGAGGACGAUCAGCCACACUGGGACUGAGACACGGCCCAGACUCCUACGGGAGCA
rnacentral:rRNA from 1 species